AUUUUACAACUAAGGUAACCUAGAGGAGCUAGAGCACCUAGAGACCUAGAGCUACCUAGAGUCAGCCACGGUGAGAACGGGUAAGAACGUCCAAGUACGCGUACCAGUAAACUGCAAACAAUCGGCAAGAUUCAGCUGAUUAUACAUAUGAACCCUAGAUGUACACUUCAGACCAAAAGGGUAACUCCCAUAGGGGAGAGGAAAACAUGCAGACCAGCCAUCUAUGUUCAGCAACAUGAACUAGAGAGUCUGGAAAUGACCAUAAUUGGUAAAUAUACACCUAUCGCAAAUAAUCGAAUCGCAUAAGUGUCAGCCAAUCGGAGGAUCUUAAAAUUCGCCUGAAGGCUUUGGGUGGUUGUUGCAGUAAUACUGCGUAGUUUUUAAAACGCCGUUGAGUAUAGAUGGAAGGAAAAAAAAAAUUGUUCUGCUGAAGCAUGCACGUCUUCCAGUGAUGAAAAUGGAUUGAGAUUCUUCAAUUUUCCCAGAGCUUCAGGACGAAUCAGCUGCCCAAUUACAAGAUGGCACUCAUGGCUCUGGAUGAUGCAUCAUCCGGUUGGACCGAAGUGGACGGACCUAAAACUGAACUGGCUCGAUUCAUGGAGAAGGGACCCAUGCUUGAUGAAUACUUCUCGACGAUUAUUGAUACCAAGGGGAACUUGUGUAGCUUGCCUCGGUUGCUUGACCAGUACAGCCCUGCAACAUGUGGCCUGCCUCUUUUCCUGUUAUAUCUCUGGACAGGUGUGGAUUGGGAUGAAGAAAAGGGUUGCUUCGAUAGCUUCUGUCGAGAAAUUGCGCGGUUCUACAGCCAGAAGCUGCACUCAGACCACUGGGACACUGAACAUGAGGGCAGUGUGUCGCAGGUAAUCAUGCCUCAGGAAGCUUCUGUUCUUGUUGUUGCUGUGGCUUUAUAUUGCUGAAAUCAGCCACUAACACUUUCUCUCCCAACGACACUGCUGCUGGCUUACCUCCUAGCUGCAGUUAGCAACACAGUAGCAGUUUUUGGUACUUCUCAACACUGAAAUGAAUGGCCAACGAUCUACACAUGUCCGAGGAAUCACAAGAAGUAGCUAUAUGCUUCAUCUAGCAACAGAGAAAGAAACUAGAGAGUUGGAUGACACUCCAGAUCUUAGAUGGGUGAUUGAGCACAUCAUAUAUCCAGCUCUGCCUCUCAGCUUCUUGCCACCGAAGAGGUUUGCAGAAGAUGCCACUAUUUUACAGAUUGCCAAUUUGCCAGAUCUGUACAAAGUGUUUGAGCGCUGUUGAGGAGUAUACUGGUGUUUGGUUUGUAUGUAAAUUGUAUGUGGAAGAGGCAUAGCUCUGUAAGAAGUAAAUAAAUGAGAAAUAAAUCUUUGGAAAAUAGUUAACACAGUGUAUAAUAAUAUUACUUCCAUGAUUCGCAAACAUGAGAGAUUUAAAAAUUAAGUAUAUUAUUUUUGCUUUCAGUUAGGAUAUCUCAGUAAAUUGAUUGGGUUUGAGUCCUAGCACAGGCAGGAAUGUUCAGUCAUCAUGUCGAGACCAACUACGAGGCCCACCCAGAGUCCAGUGUAACAUGAAUUGGAGGCCCUUUCUCCACAGAGAGACCAACAGGAGUGUGGAAGUGAUCACUUCCCCACAGAGAGACCAACAGGAGUGUGGAAGUGAUCACUUCCCCAUAGAGAGACAAACAGGAAUGUGGAAGUGAUCACUUCCCCACA